UACGAGGGGGCAAGCGUUGUUCGGAAUUAUUGGGCGUAAAGGGUGCGUAGGCGGUCUGACAAGUCUGAUGUGAAAUCUAUGGGCUCAACCCAUAGCCUGCAUCGGAAACUGUCGGGCUUGAGUAUGGGAGAGGUGAGUGGAAUUUCCGGUGUAGCGGUGAAAUGCGUAGAUAUCAGGAGGAACACCGGUGGUGUAAACGGCUUCUGGACCAUAACUGACGCUGAGGCACGAAAGCGUGGGUAGCAAACAGG
rnacentral:rRNA from 1 species